UCCAGCACGCCGCGUGAGGGAUGACGGCCUUCGGGUUGUAAACCUCUUUCAGCAGGGACGAAGCGAGAGUGACGGUACCUGCAGAAGAAGGACCGGCCAACUACGUGCCAGCAGCCGCGGUAAUACGUAGGGUCCGAGCGUUGUCCGGAAUUAUUGGGCGUAAAGGGCUCGUAGGCGGUUUGUCGCGUCGGGAGUGAAAACUCAGGGCUCAACCCUGAGCGUGCUUCCGAUACGGGCAGACUAGAGGUAUGCAGGGGAGAACGGAAUUCCUGGUGUAGCGGUGGAAUGCGCAGAUAUCANGAGGAACACCGGUGGCNAAGGCGGUUCUCUGGGCAUUACCUGACGCUGAGGAGCGAAAGCAUGGGGAGCGAACAGGAUUAGAUACCCUGGUAGUCCAUGCCGUAAACGUUGGGCGCUAGGUGUGGGGACCUUCCACGGUUUCCGUGCCGCANCUAACGCAUUAAGCGCCCCGCCUGGGGAGUACGGCCGCAAGGCUAAAACUCAAAGGAAUUGACGGGGGCCCGCACAAGCGGCGGANCAUGCUGAUUAAUUCGAUGCAACGCGAAGAACCUUACCUG
rnacentral:rRNA from 1 species